UACAGAGGUCUCAAGCGUUGUUCGGAAUCACUGGGCGUAAAGGGCGCGUAGGCGGGCUGGCAAGUCGGUCGUGAAAUCCUUCGGCUCAACCGAAGAACGUCGGCCGAUACUGCCGUUCUUGAGGGAUGCAGAGGAGAUUGGAAUUCCCGGUGUAGCGGUGAAAUGUGUAGAGAUCGGGAGGAACACCGGUGGCGAAGGCGGGUCUCUGGGCAUCUCCUGACGCUGAGGCGCGAAAGCGUGGGGAGCAAACGGG
rnacentral:rRNA from 1 species